rnacentral:lncRNA from 1 species
AUAUGCAAAUAAAAUUCGUUAGUAUAUGUUUCUAAAAAAUUAUCAUUAUAUAUUUAUAUUAUUUGCAUGUAAUGUCUUGGUUAAAUCUUUUUGUGAAUUCUAAAGCAUCAUGCACAAUCAAGAUAACAAAUAUUUAUUAUUGUCCUUAUUGUUAAUCGGCUUAUUCAGCUAAUCGGCGUUUUACCGAUGGCAAUAUAUGAUUAUUAGCGCACACAAAUAUUAGCAUUAUACAUUAGCGAACAGGCUAAGUUUUACUGCUUUUGUACAGCAUCAACGGAUGUCCUAUUUAUGAUUCGUAAACAAUUCAAUUCAUAAAGAGAGCAAUUACUGUCUGCAUUGUGUAAAUGCAUCGUAAUCCCUCGGUUCUGAUUAGCGAACUUUUCAAAUGCUUUCGUUAGAGUACCAUUGAGCAAAUAGCUCUUAAUCUCCGCAGAGAUUGACAGACAGAUCCAACUCCCGUUGCCGGAAUAAAGCAGAUUGCUCCUGGGGAACAAGCUGUAUAGUCUCCACCCUCGAGUACACACGUGCAUGCGUUAACAACUGCAUAUUCCUUAAUUCCGGGAUGGACAUUUCGCCCCCGCAAAUAAUUGCCCCGCAACUCGCAACUCCGACGUCCGCUGAAAAUUUGCCCGAGCGGUGAACAAGAAGUAAAGAGCCGAUCCUUCGGUCGUUGACGAUCGCUCUGCAUUUCGUCGGCGCAGCGCGCCGAAUCCUCGACGAGGCGGCAUCUUGACCCCGGUAUUUUCCUGUAUACCGGUGCAACGGUGAAGACUCAAUUUCGAGUACUCCUCCCGGAGGCUCUUCGACCUUUCAGCCGAUCCCCUUACGCUCUCGUCUUUACGUGCCUUCCUGAGCAUCGUCAAGAUGCUAUCCGGAGGAAAACGCCAUAUCGAACAGCCGGACGAGUCGUACCCGAUCUCUCCAGCAUGCUCCAGUUGAAUCGGCGCAAUGGAAUUCGUUUCGGUUACCCCGAACUCGGCUCCUUCAGAAUAUUUUUUAAAUUAAUAUAUAGUGGAGCACACUUGAUUUUUUAUUUACCUCAGUGUGCACAAAUUGCACAAAAAAGUUGGAGUUCUUUUACAGAUCAAAAAGUUAUGUUUUAUUUUAUUGCAUACGUAAGACGAAAAACUGUUCCUCUGAGUUUCUAUCGAGUCGAAGAGAAGCUUUUCGAGAGGAAGUAUACAUCAAAUAAAAUUGAAGAUAAUAGAGAAUACAUAUAUACGUAACUGCUUGUUAUGGAUUCGUAUUCUAACGUGAAAGAAAUUUAAGGAAAGACCGAAGAUUAAGGAGAGAUGAUCAAGUUAAGCCGAGAACACGACAUAGUUUUGACAAGUAAGAACAUGCCACGAUUUGGAAAUUAUCGCUUCUAACUUAGUCCUCGAGAUACCGGAGCAAUGAGCAGUCUUUGAUCCGCGCUAGGUAAGUAAUGAAGUAAUCUGCACGUACAUAGGAGCCGUAAUUACCAGCGGGAUUAGCUGCGGCUACCUUUGCGGUAUGUUUAUGAUAACGGUAUGUAGGAUUAGUUUCUUCGGCAUUUACAUCUCGCAGCUCGUACGGAUAAACACGAAGUUAUCGUGAGCUGAGGCUGUAGUAACGAUCGCUUAUAAUCAGCAAAUUUGCGGCCAAGCCUUAUCUACCUGUACAUUGUCCAUACAAUGCGGCCUGCUUACCGCGGUAUCAACCUAAAUGCGUCUAUAUACCAUUCGGGAAAUCUCUCGUUAUAUAACGGGAAUUGCGACAACGACGUGAUCAUAAUUGUUGCUUACUCUCAGUCACGUACGUCGGGAGCUUUCGUCAUCUAAGCACCUCCAGUAAAUUGCAAUGCGGGAUACCAUCUUGACUUUUGAAUCGGCAAACGAGCCGACCGUGGAUAAGACCUCUCGAGAAUAAAACGAAAGGAGCCUAGACGACAAUCGAGCGAGAGGAUAUGAACCGUUGGAAACUUAUUCAGAAAUCACAGGGCGGGAGUAACAAAAGUUUUACGGUCGAGUUCUACGGAUAGCUGAAAAUUAAAUCCCACCGAGGACGGGGAAUGUUCGAUCUUAUAAUGCGCUCCAGUGGCAAUCGGCAUAUGAUCAUUCAUCACAGCCAUUUCUCAUGCUCUCUCUGCAUAAGUUUGAGGUAACGCCGAUAAUAAUUCAAUAACCAACGCCUCGACUAAUUCCGUUUAAGACCCCUCGAUAUAUGAAAAAUUGUUAUAAACGAGCGAUUUUCAGAUAAGAUAACAGAUAACAGAUUAUAGUUUAUAGAUAAACUUUUAUCGAUAACAGAUAUCUUUUAUAGCUUAAUGAUUAUACACGGGCACGAAUAUUUGCAAUUUAUUCUCGGAACAGUAAAUAUUAUAGCAGCUAUAAAUAUUGAUUAAAUUUGUUAAGCGUACAUCACGUUGGAUAUAUCAUUUACUUUAUAUUUUAUUUACGCCUCGAUUAUUUUACAUCACAUUAAAACAGUCAAUAUAUGGUAUAUUAUAAAUUUCUAUUUUAAAACGUUCUAUUUUUUAUAUGUAAUAACCAUUUUGUAGAUUGUACGCGUGACAGUGAUCGAGAAAAAACCGAAAAAAAGAACAAAAACGAUGCUUCAAACACAUGAAUAACUCAAAUUAAUGAUAUAAACGUUUUCUCGGGGAAAGUCAAAUACGAAUUAUGCGUACAUGCGCUCGACGAUGCAAAUGAAACAAUUGACGUAAAUAUUUGACGCCGCACCUACAUUUACUUUUUGCUCGGCGCUCGUGAGCUUAAAUAGACCUGCAUAAAACACGACUAAGGCAAGCGCAAGACACCCGACGCCUUUUCGCUUGCCCGCUAAAUAAAACCAAGCGUGUCAAGUGCGGUAUAAGAAGUGACAUGAGACGGCAUGUAGAGCAACACGGUGGAAGUAGCAGCCUUUAUAUUCGUAAUACGCAUUGUUGAGCACGAUUCUGUCUUAUCAAACAUAAAUUUAUAUGAAAAACUGCAUGUAAGCGGAAAGCAACUUUCAGGCAAGGAUUUGUACGAAUUAUUAAUAUUACGAAUUACAGUCGGUAAUAGAAAAAUACCACAACUUGCCCCGCAAAUAUGAGAAAUUUACUUUUUAUUUAUAGAAUUGUGAUAACAAAAAGAGCUAUACAUUUGCCAUUUCUCUUCAAAAUUGUAAAAUUUUUACGUCCUUGAUCAAAACAUCUAUAUUAAUAUUAGUAAUGAAAAAAAUAUAUCAAAUAUAAAAAUAUAUAAAUAUAAUAAAUUCAGGUAUACGUAAUCAAUUUUGUUGCCUAAAUAAUAAUGAUAUCAUGCUAGAGUAAAAAUUAAAUUUAUUCUAUAAAGGAAAAUCUAAAUAAA